AUCUAACAACCUGGUUAGAGACUUAAAAAAGCAGACGACAACAGUUCUGGCGGUUUAUGCGAAGGACUUAAUACAAUAAUAUGGAAUAUAAAGCAAACAGUAGAAGAACUCGAAGAAAACCUCUAACACCUAGGAGUUCUUUAAAUUUAAAACUUCAGCAUAGAAAUAAAGAGAGAAUUCGUCACCAGACAAUAAAUGAAAUGAUUUUUGAACUUUGCCAUUUAAUUCCUGGAGAUUUUAAAGGAGAAACAAAGGCUAUUCUAAACAAUUGCAAAGGAAUACAUAUUGUAAAAAAGUCGAUAGACCAAUAAUUCAUUUUCCAAGUUUCUGCAGCAUAUAAAGCAACCAACCAGUAGAAGACCUUGAUCAGAUUUUCUCAGUUCCAGACUGAUCACAUUCAAUAUCAGUGUUGCCUGGUG
rnacentral:lncRNA from 1 species